UGUAUACACGUACAGGAAGCUUCAGAUACUCCAUUGGUGCUUGCGGGAGAGCCGCCGCGCCAGGGUGAAGAAUUCGCGGCUUGUGUCUGCACCUGAAGAUUAUGCCUUGGCUCUUACAACGUGCGGUUUUCUGCUCACCGUUACAUACACCGAAGAGUUAUGGUGGUAGUUGGAGGGAGGGAAGUUAAAUGAUCAUUUAUUAUUUCAAAGGAAUGGGCUCUUGUUUCAGCUAUUGCUGUAAAGAGCAAAACAAGCGAGUUAGGCAUGUCAAACCGGCCGGUUACUUCGAUACGUCGAGCCUCAUCGAAUUCGAAACACUUAUUGAUGAGCAGUCAUCUAGCGAGCCUAAAAGUUUGCAAAGCCUGGAGCUUCCUGUGGCCAAAUUUCAUGCACCAGAUGAAAGUUGCUGCAACUGCACUUCGGAGUUGCAGCUUUAUCACUUGAAUGUUGAAGAACUGUCUGCAUCAGAUGAUGAUCUUUUGUCCUUGUCUGGCUUGAGUGACAAUGAUGAAAGCAUCAUUAUUAAGAAGCUGGCCUUUCACCAAGAGGAUGCCUUGGAACUGGAAGAAGAGGCCAAAGCACAGCCAGACACUGUCGAGGCACCUCCAAUUUCUGUAGGCCAAAGGGUUGUCAUGCGAUCAAACCUUGCCAAGGAGGACAACUGGACAGGCGCAGAUCACAAUGCUUGGGCACUUGCGGGGGAGGAGGAAAUCCUGAAUACUGCAAAGCUGCGGUGCCAAGGACACCUACCCAACUGCCCUCAAUUUCAGACAAAGGCAUGGGACAAGGAGCGAGAGCGACUGAACAGCAGCCCCCACUCUUCACUUGACUUAGAGUGGGAGAAUGAAGUUGGGUUAACACCACCACAGCGAUGUGCAUCUGCUACCGAUGAUGACUUCGUGUAUGUCCCUGGUGUGGACACCUGUAGCAACCACUCAACUCCUCUGUCAAAUGAAAAUGACCUUGAAUGGGAUGGUGACCUUUCAAGUGUCCAGAUUGGAGGCUUUGACAUGGAAACAGAACAGCUGAUCUCAGAAAUUGAACAGAUGACUGUAGAUGCCCUGAAAGAACCCUCAGGUGCUUCCAGAUGACCAUCUGUGCACCAUCUAGACAGGUGCACCUGUUGAGGACUGUCUACUAUAUUUUUCUUGUGUACUGUUGGCCUUUUCAGUAUAUCACCCUAAAGCCCCCAUUGCCCACAACGUUUCAUACAGUGUACUCUGAGAAAAAGUCACAGAUCAAGCGAAGUAAAGAAAAAAAGGUUAAUACUUGUUGGGUCUAAUAGACCUGGAAUACACUGAGGUGUUAAGGAUCUUACUGUGAUGUGCUUUACUUUUUAUAUAUUCAAAAGGAGUCUAUCUGUUAAGACAGUAUGCAGCCAUAUUUUCCAGAACAUUUCCCUGUAUGCAAGGUAUUAAGUACUGGGGCAUAAUGGCACAUGAAUAAAAUGGUGUGCCUAUCUGUACUGCUCCCAGAGCAUUCCACUUAGCAAUUUCCUCCACGGUUGUUCCAUUAUAACCAUGUCUUGUGUCAUAGUGAAACCAUAAAGCCACUUCCUAGCUACCAAACCCACGCAUUGCAAUUUCCUUGUGUGGCCAGGGUUCACCUGGUACAAGGCUCAACAUUGCAAGGCUUGAGGCACAUGGUUCUUUUGAUAUUCAACAGUACCUUUCAAAAUUUUCAGGUGACAUAACCAUUGUAUUUUUUUUUUUCAGAAAAAUAUUUUUCGUUUUUUUUUUUUUUUUUUGCCGGUAGCAGCCCAUCUUUCAGUACUCGGAGAAAGUUGCCAUUGGGGAAUUAAGUAAAUUCUGGCACUGCAUGCCUACACAUUGCAUCUGCAGCAAAAGUGCAUUGCUCCAUUUGUGAACAUUGGACCUCAACCAUCUAGCAUUCUCUGCUGCAUAAAUUUGCUAGGGUCAGUUUUCCAACUUCCAUCUUCUUGCUGUACCACUGAACAGUAAAAGUAAAAGGCUUAGAAGGCAAACACAAAGGCAAGGUGUAUGAGUACCUGCUGUGCAGUGCACACACAAGUGUUACUUCGUGAGAUAAAAAAGAAACUUUCUGCCAAAAAAAGGAAAAAAGCAUAGCAGGCAAGUUGUUAGCACUUUUUGCUCCGAGAACUUAAACGGGUGGUUACUGCAAAAGUUGUGAUACAGCAGGGUAUACAUACAUUAGCCAGCUGCAACAGUUAAAUGUAAUAUUUGCAAUUCUCUAAAACCUGACCUGUUGGGUGUAUGGGUGCUAGAGGUAUGAUUACAGUGUAUAAGAUGGUGCAGUCAUCUUCUGGCACGACUUCAGCUUGUCUUCUUGCACGGCUUCAGCACUGGUGGGAGUUGACUCUGCACUCAAAGUACCAGAGCCCUUUGUAAUUUCUGGUUUCUGACAAAAAGGUUGGUGAUUAGAUGUUGGUGCUUUAGUGUUGCCAUAUUUAGUACACUAGAAUAUGUUGAUGUUUUUAUUUUUAAGUUACAAGAACUUACAAAUUGAAAAGAAUGUUUUAACUCAUAUGCAAGUCAACUGACACAUACAAUGACAACCCAUUCUUGUCUUUCGGUGUUGUGAAGGGAAGAGAGGUAAACAUCUAUUAGGGUUGAUGUAUGUACGCUUGUAAUUUCCGCAGAUGCAUACCUGUAGUAGUGCCAUGGCAACUGCCAUACUGGGCUUCUCUCAUCACCAUGUAGCAGCAUUACUAAGGCCACAGUCCUGCUACAUAGUAAUAGACCAUUCUGGGCCCCUUCGAGACCGUUGUGUAGGGAGAAACAUUUCCACUACUACUUCUCUUAGCUUUAUGAAGGUCAACAGUCUACUCAUACGAGUGUGAAAAUCAAAUUAGACAAGUUUACUUCAGUGUAUGUAAAACUAGUAGCUUGUAACUUGAAAUAAUCUAAAUCUUUGCCUUCUUAUCACCUAUCAUAGCAGUUUAUUGAAGUGUAGUGAAUUGGGCUUGAGAGGGCUUUGAAAUUGUGGCACUUAACUGUCAUAAAAAAAAUUUUUGUCUGAACUUUUGCUCAUGCGUUUAAAGGGACACUAAGGGAAAAUAUUAAGUCCAGCUGCAUUGAAAGAUUCGGCGUCUGUAAUAAUGAAUUCAUCAUUCAUAAUGAAAACAGAGCUUUUUGUAAGUGAGAAAAUAACAGAGAUGGAAAAUGGGAGCACCGCCACCUGCUGUGGACAGUAGUACCGCUCAUGUUUGAGAUCGGCGCUGCUGAUUCACAGAGAGUGGCUGCUAUGUCCCGCCAAUGCCCACUGGAAGUGGCAUCAAUUUUUUUUUUUUUUUGUAACCCUUGGCCGAAACCUAGGUGGGGUCCAGCCCACCCCACCAAAUCGCAGGGCACUCAAAGUUAUUUGAAAGAAUGAACCGCCACCCCUGAGACAGCAGCCACCCACUCUGGCUCUUAGGCUCAAGUAACUGUAUCCGGCAUCCUGUACACAAGAUCCACAGAGUGAUUCAUGCAAGCAGAACACCUGCAGUCACCAAGCAGUAUAUGCUUUGUAUAUAGAGCUAAAUAUAUAAUUUCUAAAUGACAACAGUGGCAUAGAGGGAGGCCACAUAUAGAUUACAUCAACUACGCCACUUUGCCGUGGGCUGUUCAAAUUUAGGAGCAGCAGCGGGACCUGCGGCGGCAGUUUUCUACACAACAAAUUUAUAUAUGGGUGCACAAAACACAAUGAUAGACUUCUGGACAAAUACUUUAUCAAUCUAGCCCAACUUGAUAUUUUCCUUAAAUGACCUUAUAACAUUCAAGUUCUUAAAAUGCCGCUGAUCUAGGUGUCCCUUGUGAAAAAAAAUCAGAUGUACGUAUUUUUAAAGUUGCUCAUCUGUAUAUAUGUUUUAAUGUUCCUUCUCAGAAAUUAUUCCAACUUACCAGGUGUUCCCUUUUAUGCGAAACACUUUCUUCUUCUUCUUUUCUUUCUUUUCUUCAAGAAGCAGUUUCAUCUAGACCCCUGCCAUUUUUGCAGAUAGCAGACAUUACCAGCAAGAAAUGUUCUCCCAUAAUUUUGUGAAUUAUCAAAAAUGUGCUAAUUAACUUUUUGACUACUCACUUUAGAACACAUGGUAUUGUGAAAUUGAAGCCAAAGAGUAGUGAAGUCAUUUCUGCAUAGCAGAAAUCCUAUAACUAGCGCCACUUUUGAGAUCUAUGACCUUAAACUGUGCUACGAAAUACAUGGGCAUUGCAGUUAAGUUUCCUAAAAGCGUGUCUCCAAAAGUUGGAAUGAUCUUACCUGGAACGCCGAGCAUUCUUUAGCAGAUUUUGUGGACGGAUCUCACAAAAGUAGUGAUGGCUUUAAGAUUUCUGCUUAGCAGGCAUGACUUCGCUAUUCCUUUGCUUCAAUUUUGCAAAUAUGUGUGCCCUAAAAUGAGUAAUUAAAAACUUAAUUAGCACAGUUUAGGUAAUUAGCAAGAUUAUUGUCAGUUUUUUUUAAUGCUAAUGUCUGCCUAGUCACGUAGCAUGUAUGAAGUAACGGCAGGGGCCUAGAUGCGACAGUUUCUUUUAAAAUAAAGUGUUCUGUAUAAAAAAAUGCCUGGUAAUGUUGGUUUGUGUUUGUGGAACUCUACACUAGCCAUUAUGAGAAAAAACUUCUCAACCACUCCAAAUGUAUCAAGAAUAUUGCCUCGUUUUAUACUCUUUGUGUUUUCACUAACUAUUGUGUGAAUCCCUAACAUGUAGUUAUAUCUAUCCCAUUCUUGGUUUCUUAUAUGUUGAAUGUAGAUUAUGACACUCAAUUAGACACAAGAGCACAGUUUAAAGGGCCCCUCACCAGGCCGCGUAGCAAGCAAAUUUUGGUUAUCUGCUGGAAGUUGUUACGUGCCCUCUAGGGAGCAUUCUACCACAGUAAUUUUUCAUAUUUGUUCAUUAACAGACAAGAUAAAAUCAAGUGCCAUGAACCCAUGAUUUCAGGAGGCGAGCGUCACCACCAACAUAGACACUCUCUCCACUUGCCCCAAUCUAGCUUCCGCAAGCAAAAUUCCUUCCCUGUGUUCUCCCAUACUGGAGCUGGAGGAUCACGCGUGACACAUACAUCAGGGGCCACAGCCUCCUUUUUUCACUUUUUGGCUGCACGGUGCACUUCUGGUAACGGUCGUGCACAUGAGCUAUUGCUUGACGGUCGUGCACAUGUCUUGUUUCGCACAGCGUACAAUUUUGCACACUGUGGAUGAGAACUCCUGAUUAGCGGUGCUACACAACACACAACACUGAGGCAGACACAAGUAGAUCACAGAGCAUGAUCAUACAUUGGAACACUGUAGAAAAUGGCAUAGUUUCAUUGUCUACAUGCGCGACUGCACGACAUGGGAAUAAGCAGACGAAACGGAAGUACAUCUCUCUUGCUGCAGUACAAAAGUAAAACAAAGACACGCAGACAUUCGGUUCGUAGGUUUUAUUAUUGCUCCGAACUUUAAUUUGCCUCUUGAAGCAUGAGAUCAAACAAGUAACUGCUGUUGCCUUGAAUAAUUCUCAAAGUCGCGUGUCACUGUGAGUGACGUCGACUGUCCAGGUGGGGGUGCGGCGCAUGCAAGGAGAAGGGCACAGGGCAUUUGGCAUGUAAUGGUGUAAUACUUUGCAGGCACGAUCGUUACUGCGCAUUGUAUGCACUGCAUUUGUCAGUACAAAAUGGCAGGCCUAAUGAGGGGCCCUUUAACAUGGGAGCUGCUGAGAAUGUUCCAUGCAAGAUCAUGUUAUUCUUUUCAUUACCCUAAAAUAGAACAUGAAUGAUAUUUAUGUAUGGACACUUUGCCAUAUACAGUUUGUUGCAACUAAAGUUGGGUGGCGCCACUCUGCACUUUCAUCCAUGGGUGGCCUUGUGUGAAGCCAAAAUGCAUUGCUAGCAACAGCCAUGUGCAGUGUGCAUACCACUGUCAGAAAGUCCAGCACGGCACAUUUACUAAGAAAGUAUGCCAGGAUGAAAAAAUUAAAGUGCACCAUCAUUGGGUGUUAAAACACUGUUUGGGUUCCAUCAGGGUGCAGAGCUUGUCUGUGUGUGGACACAAGCCUUUUCAGCAUUUAGACUAGCACUUAAGCUUAUGCACUAAAUUGCACAAUUGCAAACAAGAAGAAAAACAACUUGGAAUCAACUGAACCACCAAUUGUAUCAGUUAAGUACUAUGAACUACAUAGCAAAACAUGAUAAAUGUUACACAUUAGAAUGGAAAAGCAGUACAUAGAACAAGUGGCAGUACUCAGAAAUGCAGUUGCUUUUAAACCAUUUAGCUAAUUAGUCGUAGCUGUUAACCAGAUUAUGAUGCUUGCUAAUUUUUUUCAAACUGUCAAGUUUGUAGUUUCAUUUAUACAGCUCUGAGAGUGACAUUUGAGAGUGCGCCGUAUUGUAUGUGCACAUUGUAGCAUACAAGUUUCUGAAAGAACCUUCACAGCUUUCUUGGUUAGCCACAAUAUCAGUGCAGUAUGAAGAGAUGGCAGACGAGACAGUCAAGCACGAAGCAAAGCUGAUUGGAUGGAAGCACAUGCACUAGCAUCACGGGAAACGCUCCAGAAGUGAAAGAUGUGGUCAAAUUAUUGUUUAUACCUCGCUACAUGGAUCCGAGCUGCGUAGGUACAUUCCUUGAUGGGAAAGCAACGCGCAUCAGGCUCCUUAGUCAGCCAUGAAAUUACAAAUGUUUCAACUGUUGCAUGUUUUGUGCGUGAUCAAUUUUGGACUGUACCCUUUCACGCUCGGCCAACUUCCAAAACUUGCUGUUCUCCAACCAGCCUUUCAAAACACAAGGCCACCCAUGCUGGCAGGCCCAUAUGACCAAAUAUAAGAGUCCCAUGCUGUGGCAAUGCAAGGCGUCUGUAGUAGUUGGUGCUCCAAAAAACGUAUUUUCAAUCAACUACAAGUGUAGUGACAUACCUGACUCAUACUUAGUUUAUGCUGUACUAGCAGUAUUCUUUUCUUUUGCCGUUCAUGAUGUGAACAGUACCAGGAUUGGCAAGAAUGGUGAUCAACUGCCUUGUACAAAUUACUGGAACAAUGUAGCUAGAUUCUGCAUUUAAAUUUAUUCUUUAUGCAUGCUGGCACUCCUCUCCACAAACAUAACUGUGCCUGCCCUUGUACACACAGCAGCACUUAAGUUGUGCUGCUCAAAAUUUCGUUUAUAAAUAAGUUUUACAAUAUUUUCUUUUUAAUUUGUUUUUCUUUUGCUACUUAUCAAUGCAGCAUACAUUGAAGGCUCCGACUUACGGGUUACCAUUCUGUAGUCUCUGAAAUAUGCAUAGUCUGUUUUUUAAUACAGCCUUAUUCCAAGCUUCAGCAUUUGACAUAAAAUGCAUCUUGAAGGUAGUGUAAUAUAUGCUAGCCCUUGAAUUGAGAAUUUUUGAAAGUAUAAGAAACAUAGUCUAGACCCUUGCUCCAGUAUUUCAUUCUGUUGAUUGUAGCCCCUAAUACAUGCGUGUGGUGUUGGGACUGCUUUGCUAUGCAAGCUUCUACUGUGCCACUCUUAUACAGACAGUACCCAGCUUAUUGCAAAGCAAUUGCCAUAUUCGACAAAACAGCAAUAUCUGGUUUCAUUGAUCCGACGAAGAAAUUAGUGAACAAAUACUUAAGUGGCCAGAAUAUUCACGAAUACAUUUUGUCACACUAACAGGGCAGCUGAGCUGAAUUUUACUAUGGUCUUUCCUCCAUGAACUUAACUAUAACAACAAACAUGAAGGAUGCACGUCCUAUCGGAAAUGUUAGGGCCAGGAAAAGGUUUUACAUUAUUUUGUACACUUCUCUUGGUAGUGCAUUCUGUUCUAGCUAAAAAAGUGUGUGGCACUUAGCUUUUCUGGCCAUGCAAGUCUAAUGAAUGCUGUCAGAUAAGAAACACACGUGACGCUGAAUGGUUUCUGCUUUCUCUGUUAGCAUCCCUAAAGCACUUGGCAUAAUGGCCAUGGUUGUGGCUUCCAGCUUCAAGGACAAGCUUCUUCAAAAGCGUGGCAUCUGUUAUUGUUUUCAUUAUAACUAAAUAAAUUUUGAUUUCAAUGUUGCAAACUGCGAGAACACCCGCGUACUUAGGUUUAGGUGCAAGGUAAAUUAUUUAAAGUUAAAGAUUUAGGUGGUCCAAAUUAUUCCGGAGUACCCCAGUACGGCGUGCCUCAAUCAAAUCGUGGUUUUGGAAAGUAAAACCUUAUAAUUGUGAUUUCAAAGUGUGGUAGCAGUAUUUUUUUUUUUCCUUUCAUUUUACUCUUGCUCUUAAUAACAUGUUUGGUUCAUAUUGUCUUUCGGAAUUGUAGUCACAUGAAGUAAUUUUUUGUAGGUUUCUUUUCCAUAGCGCAGUUUCCCUCUCUCAGUCUUUGUUUCCCUUUUUAGAAAAUUUACUACAGUCCUGUUACCAUUAUGUUAGCCAUAACUGCAGUAAAGGAGCCCUGAACCACCCCUCGAGCUUGGUGAAAUAAUAUAGUCUGCGGGUAGCAUACGCUGCUGUGAACAUUUCAGCAGUUUUGCUGUCGUACGCGGUGCGUGUAGCUCGCAAGUGGAUCACAAGGUCUCCUUUUUCUCAAACUCUGUCUUUUCAACCGAAGGCCCUGUCCUCACUAUCUUAUAGAUGCACUAUUUCAUCAUUGGAUGCACUAUUUCGUACGCACUCUCAUCGGAUGCACUACCAAGGCGGAAAUCGUGGCGUCUACGUUACCAUCCAAAAUGAAAUUUGAACAGUCCGCCACGGUGACAUUUGGAAGGUGGAGUGUUGUGGGCAUGCCCCACUACGCCGUACCUUUCGCAAUGCAAGACAUUGAAGAAGGAACGAGAGCACAGAGGAGGCAGUGUUUGAUUGCCAAUGACUCCGCUUCUGCUGAAUGCAUUGGA